UGCUGUUUUCCUAUCACAGAACAGAGCACAGAGUCUGUGAGGGAGCCAGAGUCUACAGGCAUUAUCGCCUCCUAUUUCUUAUAUUUUGUGUCGUUAGUGGCGCUCCCUGUAGACGCUGCCUGCUGCCAGCUGCUGCUCUAGCCUUCUGGAAAAGAGGGGGGCAAUUAGACCUUGUGCCUAAAACAAGUCACACAGCGGCCGGACUUCUGCCGGACCUUUCCAAGGUUUGAGACUCCAGUGAACCACAGUGAGAGCCAUUAUCCACAGAGAAAACAUGGAACAGUGGUGAACCUUCCCAGGAGUGGCCCGUCUAUCAAAACUACUCCAAGAGUACAUUGAUGACUCACCCAGGAGGUCACAAAAGAACUCAGAAUGACAUUUAUAGCUUUCCAGGCCUCAUUUGCCUCAGUUAAGGUCAGAGUUAAUGAUUAUACGAUAAGACAGAGAGACUGGGCAAAAAUGGCCUCAUGGGAGAGUUCCAAUGACAAAACCAUUGCUGCUCCAAAAGAACAAAAAGGUUCUCUCAUUUGCCAAAAAACAUCUUGAUGGUCCACAAGACUUAUUGGCAUAGAUUCUGUAAAGAUGUGUGUACUGUUACAUCUGGUGUAAAACUAACACAGCAUUUGAGAAAAAAGAACAUCAUACCUGCUGUCAAACAUGGUGGUGGUAGUGUGAUGGUCUGGGCUGCUUCAGGAUCUGCUGCAAUUGAUGAAACCAUGAAUUUGGAAAAUUUAGAAAAGCCUUCUAAUGUGGCUGAAAUUAAAUAAUUCUGCAAAGACAAGUUGGCCAAAAUUCCUCCACAGUGAUUUAAAUGACUCAUUCCAAGUUAUUACAAACAUUUGAUGGCAAUUAUUGGCGGGAAGGUUGGAACAACAAGUUAUUAUGUUAAGGGGGCAAUUACUUUUUCAUAUACUACCAGAUUAGUUUAGAUAGCUUUUUCCUCUUUAUAAAUAAAAUCAUCAUUGGAAAACCCUUUUUAUUUACUCAGUUUAUCUUUGUCUGAUAUUAACAUUUGUUUGAUGAUCUGAAGCAUUUAAGUGUGACAAGAAAGCAAAAACAAGGAAUCUGAAAGGGACAAACAUGUUGUAACAGCACAGUAUGUUAUUUUCUCACUGCUCUGUAAAACUUUGGUGCUCCUGCAUGAUAGCUCUGCAUUUGGCUCUUUUAUUAUCUUCAAGGACGAGAUUAACUUUCUCUUUCCAUCCUACCAGAAAAAGAUGAGGAGAGACAUUACUAUCAGUGCCUUCAUUGGUUUAUGCUUGGUUCUGAAUAGACUGAAUGUUUGCUGGGUGAGGUCCAAUAAAACAAGGUGAAGUAGUCUAAACACAGACAGCCUUUCCUCUUCUGUCUUAUCAAUGUCUGAGCAGAAAGAUGAGAGGGUAUUACACCAUUGAAACAUAUGCACACAGCAUGAACGUAUUGAGUUAAAGAAUAAACCAUUUAUUUACUAGGCAUUUUUUACAAGCAUAGUUACAAAGUGCUGUACAAGACAUGAAAAUCAUAAAAAUCUAAAUCCCAGCAAACAAAAAAGGCCUAAAACAUAAAUAUAUUAUAGACAAAAGAAGUAAGAACAUGCCUAAGAAGGUAAAAUAUUAGUGCUACUAUCACGAAACUGCUUUAUAUGUGAGCACUAACACUUCGAAAUGAAACCAAUAAAAAGCUUAUUAAACAAGAGUGUUGUUUGAACAUCAUUAAUAACCGGGCCGCUGAACUGAUGCUGAUUUGGCAAUGCAGAUGUAAACCUGUCUGCAUUAAAGACAGUUAUAACUGCAUAACACUUUAAAAGUUGCUUUAUACGUGUCAAACAAUCAUUUAUUUAGAGUAUUAAUAUUUCAGUCAUUUGCUAGUUGUGUGGAAAAUAAUGUCACAGAUGAGGUCCUAACAUCACUAAUGAAAACCAAAGGGUGUGUAGUAGAGUUCUUUCUAAGAUUGGUUUGGUGACAUUUAGCUUUCAGUAGGAGUUGUCAGAUGGCAUAAUAAAAUCCUCCAGCACCUGACCAUGUGAGUCAUCCUCUCCCUGUAACAAGCUGUCAAUGACUAUUGUGCAAACCUCAAGCCCUGAGGAGAACCAGUAGAGGAUCUGAUUCUCUGCUGGGAUCUGCCAACAACAAAAUGUAAAACCCAUGUAGCAACACCUGGACACAUGCCGGUUAAAAUGAGUCACUAAUUUAUGACCUAAAAUUUUAGGUUGGAAUGUAAAAAAAGAAGAGUAAUCUCAAACCAGCAAGACCAUCGGUGUGUUUGAAAUUCAAGAGUUAAGACUGCAGCAUCAACCCUUCGAUCACACCUGUAGGUAAAUUGUGAGGGUGUAGUCAUCUUGCAAUCUGAUAGUUGUGGGUUUGAUUCCAGCUUCCCCCUAUCACAUGUUGAUGUACCCUUGGGCAAGGCACUUAACCCCCAGUUACCUACCGAUCUGCAUAUCAGUAUAUGAAUGUGUGCACGUUAGUCAGUGCGAUAGGCUUAAUGUGGCUCUAACGAAAAGCGCUUGGAGUACUCAGUACGUCUAGAAAACCAGUAUAUAAAUUCAGUAUAUUUAACAUUGAAUUUAUCCUCGUCAGAUGUUACUAACUUCCUCUUGAACAGCUUUUAAGAAACUUUAAUGACAUUGUGUGCUGUGGAUCACUUCCGGUCUUUCUCGGGACCUCAGUGUCUAUGUGUAAGGUGGUCCUCUCACAAAGACACUGUUGGAACGAAGGUUCAUCUGAAACUGUACUUCCUGUGGCAUCUCAAAAGUACACCCCACCACAGGAGCUGCUGGCCAUCUUGUACACUGCCAUCACUCAGUCUGUCCUGUCUUCAUUCAUUACUGUGUGGCUUGGCCCAUUCACAAAACAGGACACGUCCAAACUAAAACAAACAAUCAGGACUUACCUUCUCUUCCAGCUUGUACAGGUCUAAGGUCAGGAAAAGGGCAGCUAACAUGUCUGCAGACCCCACACAUUGUGGACACAAACUUUUUAGACUUUUACCUUCAGUGCGGUGCUAUAGAGAGACAGUUUUCCCCCCAAGCUGUCUCUGAUGAACACAAUGAAAACCUUACAGCGGGAGUGGUCGUAUAUACCGCUCUUUUAUCCUUAUUUUAAAGUUUAUAUAUUUAUACCUACUGUCUGUACACAGUGAGCACUUGAAACCGAAGUCAAAUUCCUUGUUUGUGUGCACUGUUUUAAUUCUAAGUAAUUGUGGAAAUUAAUCCAGAAUUAUUUUCCACAAUACAGGAACCCUUUGCUGCUCUAAAGACUGAUUAUACACAUAUUAACAAAAUCUGGAGAGUUGGUCUGCACAAUGCUUUUUAUGAGGUGCCCAGAUAUAUUGUUCAGACCAGGACUCAUUUACUUCUACAGAGCACACUCCUGACAUCCUGAUCCUUAAAGACAAGAUCAGACAGUAGAGAAGAGGAAAACUCCUAUUUCAUCAGGUUAAUUUGAUCUCUAAAAUCCUAACUAUCAAACCCAAGGUAAAAGUUUUGAAAUGAUCAGCUAGUUCCUUGUCUUAAUUAAACCAAUUUAGUCUGAUGUGUGAAUUAUGUACUUUCUGAGUGCCUCAGCCUGCUGAAUAAAACCACUGUGGUCUACAGGAUCAAAUGCUGCAGUGGUCUUAAGUAGCACAAGCACAUAGCGAUGCCCAGCAUCACUGACCAUCAAAAAGAUCAUUCUAUACCUUUGAAAGAGCUGUUUCUGGAAUUUACAGUCUGGCUAAUGGAGAUUUAAAAUGUCAUUAUACCACCUUUUCCAAAACUACGCCAAUAGAUCCUGCUUUAGAUUGUCUGGUAAUCACAAACAAACAGUGAAGACCUCAUGUACAUGGUGUUUUCUGGUUUUGGAUAUUUAAUCUGUUUUCAGUUCAGAUCUUGUUUCAAAUUAAUCCAUUUUUGCUGUGAUAUGAAAGCAAAAAUAUAUUCUGCAAAAUACAGAAAAUAUCUGAGCAAUUGGCUUUUUUAAGGAGUGGCAGCAAGUGAAAAAACCAAUGUUAUUUUAGUGAAGUGUAGAAGCCUGCCAGGACCUUGCUCAAGCUGUGAAUUUUUAAUCCUCAGACCAGACCGAAGAGAUUCACACUCAUCCAUACACUGUGACAGACGUAAAGGCCACCUGACCUCGACUCUGCCUGGCUGAGGCGGUCAGGCAGCCAUCUGAGGACUGGGUAUAUACUCAUGAAAAAUGACAGCCUUCAACCUGGCCAAUCUUAAUAGAUGAUCUUGGCUGAGUCUUUCCCAAACCAGAGUAGCACUCAGAAUUGUUGCCCCCAUCCCCGGAUGAAACGGCAAGCGGAGUAGAACACCACAAAGACCGCCGAACCACCCGGCCAACGCCAUCAGCCCCAGCCUCCCUGUCCAUAAGAGAAAAAUAAAAAUAAUAAUAAUAAUCCAUUGUCUUCUACUUAAUAGAGUAGAAGAGUAGAUCAGAUUGCAGAGCUAACAGAUCCAGGAGGGGAACCCAGACAUAUUUCUGUCCGUCGACACUCUUCAUGCAUAUAGUUCCUCCACCAAGUUUUGGGCCUGCAUUCAGUUAAUAAUUCUAAGAAAAAUCAACAAGAACUUGUAAUUAUUGUAAUCCAGGAUUAAGCAUAAAACAUAAAACAUAAAAGCAAAGACUACCUUAUUUCUACUUUACUACUAUAUAUAGGAUAUAAAGUCCACCUGUGUGAAAUGACAGAAGUUACAUUUAUCAUGGGUUUAUUGAUCUGUCAGGAAUCAAUGAAAAGAUGUUUUGCUGCCGAAUUCUAGCGAAUGUCCACUACGAUUUUAGAGGCAGAAGACAAAAAUGGAGGAUUAAAAUGCUUGGAAUCCCCUGGAUCCAUCAGCUUUAAGCUCCAAAACCGACACUAACCUUAGCUUAUCCAAACAUGCAUCUGGGAUGUCCAUUAGUGCUAUACAGCCUACACGUCUAUAAAUAUACAUAUAUACUUGUUGCUACACACAGCACCAAAUUGUAUUAAUAUGCAAAUAUUUGUACACUGAUCUAUUUUUAAUUAUCUUUACCUAAUAUGUAGGUAAAUUAAAAUAAUUGCCAGUAAUAAUGCCAGUAAGGAUCCAGGUACUUUUGAUGACAAAAUUAAAAUGUGUGUGCAUGGAUGCGUAGUGCGAUGAUGUACUUGUCUGCAAAAAGCUCUCUGUCUUUUGUUCUCCAGGAGAUAGAGAGCAUCCGCUGCUCUAGUAACAACACAUAAAUAUGCAUUAAUCUGUUCUGGUUGGGCGAAUUUGAAGAACUGUCAAGCAUCAAAUGUAAAGGUCAUGCUUUGCUUGCUGUAAGGGGUAAAAUCCUGGAGACCACGGUUAGGGCAACAUUUGAAUAAACUAUGCAAGGAUUUACAAGCAGUAACCUUCAGGGCAAAGCACGCCCCCGUCCCCCACCAGGAAGUAGUUACUGUUACGGAUGGGUUCCGUCACUAACUUUGCCAUCCUGACUCAGGAUGUCACUGAGAUAAAAGUAAACAGAGCACUGAUAUAUGCUUUGAUUAGAAUACACUUUGUGUAUUCAUAUUAUUGUCUUUGUUUAAUCUCAGAUUGAAUAUAGUUCAUCAUUUCUCCAUUGGUUUUUUGAAGAACAAAAAGUCUUUGCAGAGUAAAUCUCCUCUUGAAUUUUGAGUAAAGGACCGGCAACCUAACCCCCACCCAUCUCUGGACCAUGACAGCCAGGCAGAAUGUGGCAGGUGGAGGUCUUUCAGGCAGAGCGAGGGGUGACCUUGCCACUUUAUUUCCCAUUGAAUCGGCUUGGUUCACAACACAGUGCCAGAUUUGUAACUCCACGGACAGCCAUAGUGAGCAGAGGGCUGGUCCCAUCCCCGGUCUCAUCGCAGCCCUGUGGCAGCAGAUGCCACAUGGCCGCCCCAGAGCCUUCAGCCAGCUAGUAGACGUAGGCGAGCGCCAGCCGGGUCACCGGAGCCCAUGUCUGUGUCAUGCAAAGAGAGGGCCUUCUCAGCAGGCGGCCCGGCAGCAUGCCGUCCUGUCCUGUCCCCCUUUCAUGGAGGAAGUGUGUAACAGCUCAUUUGUACGUGCUUUGUGUAGAUUAAAGCAAGAGUCUGUCAAAAGUAAUUAAACGCAAUAGAGUUUAUCGCUUUAUAGAUUACUGCUCUAGACAAAGCUGUUACAUACCUCCUAAAUGUACAGUGGUGUGAAAACUAUUUGUCUCCUCACGGAUGUCUUGUAUUUUUCUUUUUUGUCCUGUUUAAAUGUUUUAGUUAAUCCAACAAAUUUUCAUAAAGUCAUUGUGAUUUACCACAUUUUUAGGUGAGAUUUCACCAGGCACAUCUGUCAGACCUGUAAAAUAAAUAAAUCACUAAAAAGGAACCUGUCUGACAACUUGAAGUAGGCUUUUUAAUUUAUUAUAGCUGCUUUUUAAAUAAAUGUUUUUUGUUAAUGUUUUACAGUCUCAAUCAGUGCUGCAAGAAGCACAAAAAUACAGUUUUUGAUUCAGGAUUUAUUAACAAUAUCAAAAAACUGAUCAACUGAGUUUUUAAGAAUUGAGUCUGAUGACAGAUUCUGGGGAAACAUUUGCUGUGACUGCAGCUAUGCUGAUUAUUGACUUUCUGAUAUGCUGUCACAGUCAGUUACAGUGAGCCUUUGUUGUGAAACUUUUACUGCGUUUUGUCUGCAGCAGAUGAACUUCAGUGUUCCAGAGAAAGUUUUGAAUGAUUGUUUAACCUUCAUAAGCUCGCCGCCUACCACCUGAUGAAAGCAGUUCUUUCCUCCUAGCCUAUCUUAUGCCUGGAUCAAUGUUGGUGCUAUGAAAGAACCAGUUUUUCAGUGUCACAGCCAAGCCAGAGUUUGAAAUGCUUAAAAUAGAAAGAUUUGGUAAUAAGCAAUUGCUAGUACCAGAUGAGCACUGGAACCAGUUAGGUGGGAACAAACUUUGAGAAAUGUAUGUAACUCCUUACCCCAAAAUCACUAGCAGAUUGAUGGCAGUAGUCCCCAUCGCUUCUAUUAGCACUUCAGAAUAUAAGAAUGGUAGGAUAUUAGUUGUCAACACCACUAAUAAUUCCGUUGCGUUGCUUUAAAUGACCUAAAACCAAAACAGCAAUCUCUUACUUGAAGAUUUACAUGCUGUGUGCACUUGCUGUUAUAAGUAAUCAGUCCUGUUAUCCAAAGUAAAUCAUUAGCCAGUUAAGCAGUGGUGUAGCUGUUUUUUAAAGCAGGUCAGCUUUAAGCCCUCCUCAUGUAACGGCUCUGCUGCUGAGCCUCCAAGCAGACCACAUUCCAUGCUUCCUCACUCAGCUCAGUCAGCUGAAUCGACUCUUGAGCAGUUGGUCAUGCAGUUUCUCCCUCACAAAAAACAUCUAUUAUUUUCUAAACAACAUUGAAUGGCAAUCUAAUCUAAAUAAAGAUGAUUUACUCAAUUUAAAUGUUGGUGAAGCUGCAAGUCAAAAUGUUAACCUCUUGUUUUUUUCUCACAUAAAUCCUGAUUUAAAAGCUUCACUCCAAAACAAACCCAGCUGGAUGAGGUUCUUGAUGUUUCCUGUCCCCAAUGCAGCAACUUAAAUAUGUGGGAAAAAGGUGUUAAUUGUGAGAUUCAAUAAUCAGUUCUUUUUCUCUAUAAUAAAAUGAUACAGGAGGUUGGAAUGGCAAGCCAUAUUUAAAUUAGAAGGGACAAAAUAACCAUUUGGACUUGGUACAGUAAUAGCAUAAUAAAUUAUGUUCUUCUGGGGACAUUGCUUGAGGAAAUGUUUUAAAACGCCCAUGGGAACCAGCACUCAUCAAUCACACAUGGUGUGGUUUGGGCUGUUGUGAUGCCCAGCGGACUUGAGGCUGCAGAGCAGCCAGUAAUCUAAAUGGUGAGACUGAGCUCCAGGGCCCCCAUGGGGCUGCCCGCUCUAUCGCCUGCAAAGAAAACAGAUCAGGGUAGAAGGAUCAAGGUUUGUUUUCUCCCUUUUCUAGGUCAUUAUUUAUUAUGUGAAAUAUCAACGUCCUUGGCUGCAGCAUGGGAUCUUCCUCCCCCUGCAAUUGACAGAUCUCAUUAUAAGAUAAACGUGACAAAGAUAGCUCAUAAUGCUUCAGAGAAAUGUAACACCAUUAGCAGGUCAUUGUCAUCGUUCUAAUGUGUCCUUUUAAGCUGCUUAGUGAACUGGUGCUGAAGUGUGAUACAGGGAUUAACCUAUCAGAGAGUUGCUGCGGAGGAGUUGAGCUGCCAUUGAUGGAAAUUUUUGGAUGUGUGGUGAUAUCUUCCCAGGCGCUGUGCAGAGUCAUGGUAGAGCCUGAUUCGUAAACAUACUGAGGUAUAUGGUUGAGGAUGUCUAUAGGGUAUAGGCAUACAUAAGACUGGAAGUGGUGUGUCUGAAUUUCUUCAUGGAUCAAAUAUAUGCAUACUGAUUUUUUUUAUACCAAGAAAUUAUCUUGCCAUAUUUAUAAUUAGGUCAUUAAUUGGUUCCUGCUGUCAGUUUCAUCCAGUAAUACAAAAUAACUCUACAAUAUGAGCACUCACAUCACAUUUGCAAUACUUUUACUUUUUUUUAGGAAAGGGUUUGAUCUAACCAACUGUUUGUAAUGUGUUGAUUGGAUACAUACCGUAUAAUGUGGGUGCAUGUCACCUAAAUUAAUUAAUGAGUAAAUUUUAAACUUGAAUUGUGGAAAUAACUCCCAAAUUUGGUAAGAGGAAAAUUGGUCCAGGGUUAGGUGAUUUUUUAUGCAUUUAUUUUUCUUUUUUUGUUUGUUUUACCAGAAAGUAUGCACCUUUGAAAAUUCACAGUUAUUCAUUCAUUACUUAAUUUUUCUAUCUAUGAUUGGAAACUGACACAGUUAAACUUAUGAUUUUCACUGCCUCGUCAAUCAUUUAGUUAAGGAUCACAUUAACAUACGGUGCCUUCCAAAUGUUUUCAUACCCCCCUUUGAUUUUUUCUGUUUUGUCAAGUUACAACAACAAACUUGUAAAAAUGGAUUAGAACAAGGAUACAUUAAAUAUUAUUUCAAAUAAGAA